UAUAGGGUUAAACUUAAAAACAUAAAAACUCAAAAUCCAUCACCAUUUCCCAAAAUACUAUCAACAGAGGAAGGAGGUAGAGAGAGAGAGAGAGAGAGAGAGAGAGAGAGAUUUGAUUCAGUUACCGGCGGUCUCUAAUUCGCUUGGUGCAGGUCGGGAACUACUUCGCUUCGCUUGUUAAAAAUGGGAGUUUCAUAAUAUCACUUAUAUAUAAUAAAAAUAAAAAUAAAAAUAUAUAGAUAUAGAUAGCCAGUUGGCGUUUUGGGAUUGGUUAGGGAGCGAAUUGGAUCCCGCCUUGCAUCAACUGAAUCGGAGACCGCGGUGAAGAAGAAAGAUGUUUUACAGGUUGCAUGGAUCUCGCCUUUUUCCCUGGCUCAUUCUCAGAUCUCAGGUGCUGAAUGCAUUGGGGUUCCAGACCAUGUUGCUCACUAGUUUUUCUACACAUCUUUCAUAAUUCACCUUGGAAUGUUCAGUUAUGGUUGGUACCCAAAUGAACCUCUCCCAUAUGAGGCUGAAUGAUUCUGGGGAAAUGUUGAUAUGGCUGUUUAGAUGUUAUGCUGGAGGUCAUGAAACCUUUGUCAACCCAUGUGGUACAUUUUGAAUGUUUAGAUCUUAAAAGGGAUCACACUUUCUAGCAAUUGAUGCAGAGAACAUUGUUUAGGUGGCAGAAUUGCUGAGAUCUUUAGUUUACAUUUCAGAAGGCGUGAUAUGUAUUUCACCAACCUUAGAACUGCUUGCUGAAACUUUUGCAUCAAUUAUAUCACACAAGGCUGAGCUCUGCUUGACCUAGGUAUUCCUAUAAUUAAGUUUAAUGUGCUUCAUGAUCUUUGCUUUUUCACUGAGGUCUCCUUUAAACAAGAACAUGAAGAAUCCUUGUUUCAAAAUUCCUGCUGUUUAUGUGUGUGUGUGUGUGUGUGAACCUUGAAUAUAACAUGUUGCUUAUCUUCAAAUAUCUAGUGACUUUAAAAGUUACUGACUUCUGAGUACAGAUUUUUUACAAGAAUGUUACAGUUUUUUUAUUUUAUGUGUACACAUCAUCCUUGUUUUUCCUUAAUAUAAUGUUGCAUGUCUGUAAAUAUCUAGUGACUUCACGAGUUGCUAUGAUUUCUAAUCAGAUUUUUAAUAAGGUUACAUUUUUUCCCUAGUGACGUGUACAUGCCCUUAGAAUAUAAUCUACAACAUUUAGAAUAGAGUGGCUGAUAUCAUAUAAUCUAAAAAUUAUUUUUUCAACCAAUGAUGUUCCAUCUAAAUGUUGAAAUACACAAUAUUUAAGAAAUAUAAAAUGAAAUGGGCUUUUUUUUUUAUAUAUAUUUUUUUAUUCCUUCAUUUUGGGAAAAAGGGUUAGGGAAUUUAUGGUUUAAUGAAGAAGCAGUAAUCAACAAAUAUAAUCAUUAAAAUUCUUUGAUUCCCUUAAUUUUAUAUUUUAAAUUUAAUUUAUGUUAAAUAAAAAUGAAAUUUAUUUAUAUGGCUUAAACAAGAUCAUGUCAAAAUGGGUUAAACUGCAUUGACAUGAAUAAUGAAAAAGAUCAUUUUGGAUUGAUUGCGGCUUACACAGAUCAAAACAAAAUUGACCAAUUUAUUAAUCUUGUUAAAGUGGGUUGAUCCAUUAUGACACGAAUCUAUGUAUAUAAAAUUAUGUCUUUGUUUGUGUCAUGUUUGCGUGACGUGUUAAACAUUGCUUUUUGACACCCUUGCUAAAUGGGUUGUGUCAUAUCCAACUGUGGGAAAAGCUGUUUUAGUCAAAUUUGUCGAAUCAUUUCUCCAAUACCCUUGCCUAAAUUGUCAAUGCAUCUUUUCUUGCUUAUUAUCUAAAGUUACUUUAUAGGUUCAAAUUGUCAACCAAACUUUUCUCUUUUCCCACCUUCCUUCGAUUUUUAGUUAAGUUUUUUACCUGUCAAAAAAAAAACCUGAUGGUAACUUUUUUCCCUAUUAUCUUUGGGCCUAUAUGGUUUUACCUUACCUUUUUUUUCGUUUAUUUUAUUUAUUUUCUUAUGGGGUGGGGGAAGAGGGUGUUGGUUGGAAAUUAUAGUGAUUUAUCUUCUUCUGGUGGGUUUAGAAUUAAGUUAUUAUGUUUAGCCAAAUGCGCAAGUCUGGACUCAUCUGGUGGGUUCUUGUUCGAGGUCAGUAAGGUGAUUUGUUUUGUUUAAACUUUGAAUUUUAGCUAGCAGGAUGGCUCCUCAAUCUUGAUGAAUAUUGUGCUAGAUAGGGCAAGAUAUGGUAAGGCAGGGUGUUUUUUUGCAUUUUUUUAGCUUGGUUAUAGAAUAUGGUUAAGGAAUGCAGUGCAGGACAGAUUGCUUUCCAUUGCUAAUCAUAUGCAGGAGCUUUAAUUUUUCAGACAGGUUUUGUGAUGUAUGGGAUGGGUCUAGUAGAAUAGGAAUUUUGGUCAUGGAAUUAAAUAUCUUAUGGGUUUAAUUCAAAAGCUUCAGGCCUGGUUUGCAGAAAAAGCAAACCAGUUCAGGGUUUUAAAACGGUCUUGGAAGAAGGCACUCGGCUUGCAUACACCCUAUUGCCUGACUCUGGUUGGGUUAACAGAUUACAAUUAUAUUACCACUUGGCUUGCUUAAUAUACAAGUUGUAAAGUAUUAAAAAAAAAAAAAAAAAACUAAAUAACAAAA